rnacentral:rRNA from 1 species
UACGUAGGGUGCGAGCGUUAAUCGGAAUUACUGGGCGUAAAGCGUGCGCAGGCGGCGCGUUAAGACAGGUGUGAAAGCCCCGAGCUUAACUUGGGAAUUGCGCUUGUGACUGGCGUGCUGGAGUGUGGCAGAGGGAGGUGGAAUUCCACGUGUAGCAGUGAAAUGCGUAGAGAUGUGGAGGAACACCGAUGGCGAAGGCAGCCUCCUGG